rnacentral:ncRNA from 1 species
GGUCAAGCGAAUAAGUGCAUGUGGUGGAUGCCUUGGCGAUUACAGGCGAUGAAGGACGUAGUAGCCUGCGAAAAGCUGCGGGGAGCUGGCAAACAAGCUUUGAUCCGCAGAUGUCCGAAUGGGGAAACCCGGCCCGUAUGGGUCAUCCCUUGCUGAAUACAUAGGCAAGGGAAGCGAACGCAGCGAACUGAAACAUCUAAGUAGCUGUAGGAACAGAAAUCAACCGAGAUUCCCAAAGUAGUGGCGAGCGAAAUGGGAUCAGCCUUGUACUCUUUAGCAGUAUUGCUAGCAGAACGGAAUGGAAAGUCCGGCCAUAGCGGGUGAUAGCCCCGUAUGCGAAAGCAGUAUUGUGGAACUAGGUGUACGACAAGUAGGGCGGGACACGUGAAAUCCUGUCUGAAGAUGGGGGGACCAUCCUCCAAGGCUAAAUACUCGUAAUCGACCGAUAGUGAACCAGUACCGUGAGGGAAAGGCGAAAAGAACCCCGGGAGGGGAGUGAAAUAGAUCCUGAAACCGCAUGCAUACAAACAGUCGGAGCCUGGAAACGGGUGACGGCGUACCUUUUGUAUAAUGGGUCAGCGACUUACAUUCAGUGGCAAGCUUAACCGAUUAGGGAAGGCGUAGCGAAAGCGAGUCCGAAUAGGGCGUUCAGUCGCUGGGUGUAGACCCGAAACCAAGUGAUCUAUCCAUGGCCAGG